rnacentral:rRNA from 1 species
GUCGAACGAAGUAGCAAUACUUAGUGGCAGACGGGUGAGUAACAUGUAGGUAUCUGCCCUUUGGCCUGGAAUAACACGAGGAAACUUGUGCUAAUACCGGAUAAGUCUUUACGGAGAAAGCUUUAUGCACCAUUGGAUGAGCCUGCACUUGAUUAGUUUGUUGGUGGGGUAAUGGCCUACCAAGACUGUGAUCAAUAGCUGAUUUGAGAGGAUGAUCAGCCACAUUGGGACUGAGACACGGCCCAAACUCCUACGGGAGGCAGCAGUGGGGAAUCUUGCACAAUGGAGGAAACUCUGAUGCAGCGAUGCCGCGUGAGUGAAGAAGGCCCUUGGGUUGUAAAGCUCUUUCGUCGGGGAAGAAAAUGACUGUACCCGAAUAAGAAGGUCCGGCUAACUUCGUGCCAGCAGCCGCGGUAAUACGAAGGGACCUAGCGUAGUUCGGAAUUACUGGGCUUAAAGAGUUCGUAGGUGGUUGAAAAAGUUAGUGGUGAAAUCCCAGAGCUUAACUCUGGAACUGCCAUUAAAACUUUUCAGCUAGAGUAUGAUAGAGGAAAGCAGAAUUUCUAGUGUAGAGGUGAGAUUCGUAGAUAUUAGAAAGAAUACCAAUUGCGAAGGCAGCUUUCUGGAUCAUUACUGACACUGAGGAACGAAAGCAUGGGUAGCGAAGAGGAUUAGAUACCCUCGUAGUCCAUGCCGUAAACGAUGUGUGUUAGACGUUGGAAAUUUAUUUUCAGUGUCGCAGGGAAACCGAUAAACACACCGCCUGGGGAGU